AAUCCAGUUUGAGAUGAUUUUUGGCUAAUGUGUGAGAUUUAAGGUGAGGGUCAUCUUUCUGGAUAUACAAUUUUUCCAGCAACAUUUGUUGAAAAGACUCUUUGGCAAUACUUGCGUGGAACUAUUUCUGGUUUCUUUUUCUAUUUCAUUGAUCUGUUUUUCUAUCCUUCAGCUAGUAUCACACAGUCUUGAUUAAGCUUCCUAGAACUUCCUGUAAUAUGUUGACUAGCAGUGGGACUGGAAAACACCACUGCAUUGUUCUCAUCUUAAGAGGAAAGCAUUCUACUUUCACCACUAGUUUAAUUCACUGAGCCUGAAAUUGCCGAGAAUUAUAGAGAAAAGGUUCCUCCCUGACAGUUUGGCAAGGAAUAUGGAAUGGUUAAGGACUCCCCACCCUUCCACUCCAACCCCACUUCCAAAGCCUGAGAUUUCAGGACCUCUGACCCAGCAGCUCCAGGUGUCUACGGAGCAUCUAAAUCUGGAUAUCCCAUGGGAACUUCAAACUCAAAAUAUCCAAGAGAGAUCCAUUAAUAUUCCCUUGCGCUGACCUGUAACACCGAAUCACAUGCAGUAGUAUUUAGUUGAUUCUACUGCUAAAAUGUCAAAAAAAUUUGCCCAGUUUUAUCCAACCCUCCUAUUAUUGGCCUUCAUUAUCUUUCACCAAGACCAGGCAAAUUACCUAAUUUCUCUUGGCCAGCCUUUCUUGCUCCAACCAAAGCAAAACUCAAAUUGUUUAACUGCCUUGAUUCUAUACCUUGCAUUUCCAAAUCAAAGUAUCUUUGUAUUAGACAUCAGUUUCCUUAUUUGUAAGGUGGGACAAUAAUAUUUCAUGAGAUUGUAAAAAGUUCUUAUCAUAAGAAACGCCAACAGUAAUAUAAUAUAGCAAUUAAUAAAAGCCCGCUUACUUCUUCUCACCAUUAUCUCACUGGGGAAUAUUAUAAAAACUAUCAUAUAUGGUGCUAAGGGUUAUAUGUUGAUUAAAUCAUUUAAUCUUCACAACAGCUUUAUGAAGUAAGUAUCAAUGUUACAAUUCCAACUUUAGAGAUGGGGCAAAGAGAAGCUGACUAUCUUGUCUAAGAUCACACAUCAAGACAAAGGCAACACUGAAUCUCAGAUUAGGUAUGCCUGAGUCCAGAUGGUGAUAACCAACAGAAUAUACCAACUCUGAAACAUAUUAAAUUCUCAUUACAAUGGAAUUAACUUCAUUACCUUCAAACUGUUGAACCAAGAUUUUAAAUAAAAGAAACUAUUAAUAGAAGAUUAAAGAAAUGUACAGUGUAGCUAUAUACCAAUGUGAAUGUAAUGAUAAAUGAACAGUGCAAUCAAAAUAUUUUAAAAAUACACAUUUUCAACUAAACAUAGUUUUACAUAACUUAAAAUGCAACACAGUUUUUCUUAAUGGUGCCAUCCUCCAAGCCCUAAUCGUUGUCUCACUGUUUCCUAUAACACUUUGCAGGUGCUUCUGCAGUUUGCUUUCCUUCCUGUCUAGAAAUCACAGCAUCAAAAACAUGCAAAAAGCUCUAUCUUUUUACAUAUUUUGUGGUUAGCCAACAAACUAAUGUGAGCUCAGUCAACAAUGUUUCAACUUCCUUAAUACUGCACAACUGCAAUGCAUUUUUGCUGCUUUAGAGUGCUGCAAAAACAUAUAUGACAUCUGCAUUUCUAAAACGAUAACAAUUUGUUGUUUCUGCAACAUAUAUUUAAGACUGUUCUUAAAACCAUGUAGUAAUUUAUACCUGUCUAAAUAAUUUCUUAUUUUCAUAGAUAACAUUUUUAAAGUAUAUGGGCCUUUCAGCAAUUUGCAGUCUUCAGAGAAAUGACAUUUAGAUUUUCUUGGGUCUAUUCAGGACCCAAUCUUGUAAACCAUUUCACUAGAAAUAAAAAUCUGUUUUGUUCUUUAUUAAGAAAAAGAAAAUAUGGAAGAAGCCAAUUAAAAUUUAUUGCAUAGGACAGUGUUUCCAAACAUGCUUUAAAGACAGAAAGUCUUACUAAAAACAGUUAAGUGAACUGUGACAUACAGGACGGAUCAGGUGGGACAACUCUGAUAGAAGCCAAGAUAGAAAAUACAGAGCCCUAUCAGCCUGACUUUUCAUUAUUCAUAAUGAGGUAGGAGGUGGAAUGUGACUCUGGACCAGAUUGAAGACUGACAGAAACAAGGAAGAGGAAACGAAAGCUCCUCCCCAUAAGACACGCCCACCAGCACCAUGACAUUUUACCAUUGCCAUGGCUAUACCCAGAAGUUACCAUCCCUUUCCAUGGCAAUGAUCCAGAAGUUACCUUCUGUUUUCUAGAAAUUUCUGAAUAGCCUGCCCCUUAAUUUGCACAUAAUUAAAAGUAGUAUAAACAUGGCUGCAGAACUGCCCCUGAGCUGCUACUCUUGACACACUGCCCAGGGGGUACCCCUGCUCUGAAGGAGAAGUCACAGAGCUGUAACACCCCUGCCUCAAUAAAGCUGAUUUUUCUACCACCAGCUCGCUCUUGAAUUCUUUCCUGAGCCAACCUUCUCAGGCUAAACCCCACUGUUGGGAUUCACCUGCCCUGUAACAAUUUCACCAUAAAAGUCAAUAAAGCUUCAUGAUGCAACCCAAAAUGUCUAUUAAACAUCCAGAAUCCUUACAGAAACAGAAGGCCACACUAACAUGAGGCCAACACCCCUAUAUAAAAAGGAUACAAUGGAUCUUAUUUUUAUCAUUAAUGUUGUGCGUCUUAAACAUAUGGGGUUAACUUAUGAAUAAGAAUUAUCAAAGUUUAUAUCCAAAAUUUAUAAAACAUAAUACUAUUCCCUUGAUUCUUGUAAUUUCACUUCUCUCCCAAAUAAG
rnacentral:lncRNA from 10 species